UCCGUCGCGAGGCGGAAUCUGAAGGAAGCUGAAGGCAAACUCCUGGCCCGACGAACAGGAACCGUAUAUGAGGCUCCCGCAUCUGGGCGAGAGGGCUAAGAUCCUCGAAACCCGAUAGCUAUCCAGAAGGUGCGGUAGUAAAUGCGGCGGGUAGGUGGGAGGAAGGUCGCGCGU
rfam:Halomonas sp. 1513, complete genome.